UACACCAAGGGGGAGGGUCCUCAUUCUCAACAAUGAAGCUUUCCUAUCUUUUGAUUUCACUGUUCACGGCUCCACUGCGUGUUCACUCCAGUGUCCAACUUGUGGAAUCUGGGCCAAAUAUUCUGCAACCUGGGCAAUCCCUCCAUCUAACUUGCACUGUUACUGGAGAUUCUGUGAAAAAUGUAUUGUGGGAUUGGGUUCGUCAGGCUCCUGGAAAAGGACUGGAAUGGUUGGGCGAGAUAGACUGGGAUAGCGAUAAGGCGCACAUACUAUAACCCAUCUGUGCAAAGCCGAUCCACUCUCACAGCUGAUUCCUCCAAAAAUGAGUAUUAUCUGGAGUUGAGAUCUCUGACAGCUGCAGACUCAGCAACUUAUUACUGUGCACGAGGAACACAGUGA